GGUCAGGUGGCCGAUAAAGGUGGCGGGCUGUAAACCCGCAGAUGGGGCCGAUUGCCCCCCGUCC
rnacentral:tRNA from 1 species